rnacentral:rRNA from 1 species
UACAGAGGUCCCGAGCGUUGUUCGGAUUCAUUGGUCGUAAAGGGUGCGUAGGCGGCUUCCUAAGUUUGAUGUGAAAUCCUGGGGCUCAACCCUGGAACUGCAUUGAAUACUGGGAGGCUAGAGUACUGGAGAGGAAACUGGAAUUUACGGUGUAGCAGUGAAAUGCGUAGAGAUCGUAAGGAAGACCAGUGGCGAAGGCGAGUUUCUGGACAGUUACUGACGCUGAGGCACGAAGGCCAGGGGAGCAAACGGG